CAGUCGAGGGGCAGCGGGGUAGUAAGCUUGCUUACUACUGCCGGCGACCGGCGCACGGGUGAGUAACACGUAUGCAACCUGGCCGUCACAGAGGGAUAACCGGGAGAAAUCCCGCCUAAUACCGCAUAAUACCGGGGGGAGGACAUCCUUUCCCGGUCAAAGGAGCGAUCCGGUGACGGAUGGGCAUGCGCCGCAUUAGUUAGUUGGCGGUGUAACGGACCACCAAGACGACGAUGCGUAGGGGUUCUGAGAGGAAGGUCCCCCACACUGGUACUGAGACACGGAUCAGACUCCUACGGGAGGCGGCAGUGAGGAAUAUUGGUCAAUGGGCGGAAGCCUGAACCAGCCAAGUCGCGUGAGGGAAGACGGUCCUAUGGAUUGUAAACCUCUUUUGCAGGGGAGCAAGGCGCGGUACGUGUACCGCGAAGGAGAGUACCCUGAGAAAAAGCAUCGGCUAACUCCGUGCCAGCAGCCGCGGUAAUACGGAGGAUGCGAGCGUUAUCCGGAUUUAUUGGGUUUAAAGGGUGCGCAGGCGGACUGUUAAGUCAGCGGUAAAAUGUCGGUGCUCAACACCGGCCGGCCGUUGAAACUGGCAGCCUUGAGUGAGCGAGAAGUAUGCGGAAUGCGUGGUGUAGCGGUGAAAUGCAUAGAUAUCACACAGAACACCGAUUGCGAAGGCAUCUGACGAAUCGGAGAUUGACGCUGAUGCACGAAAGCGUGGGUAUCGAACAGGAUUAGAUACCCUGGUAGUCCACGCUGUAAACGAUGAUGACUAGCCG
rnacentral:rRNA from 1 species